UUUUCGACUCAUUCCCGUUACAAACAGCCGACCUUCCUACCGAGUUCAAGUACCUUCUGCCUGGCCUGGAAGAACCGUAUCUCUCUGUCACCCUCUUCCACUGGCCCUCACCUGCCCUCCCCUGAACAUGCAUUUUGCCUGAGAGGAGGCAGAGGCGGUUGGUGCUUGCAGCUUGGUCCAGGAGGCCAGCGGGACCAGACAGAAGACCACAGCGACACGUGGGGAUGGCUGUUCCACAGGCAGAAAUGGGCAGCCGGGAGGAAGUCCGGGCAGCCAGCCACGCAGCUCCUUCCACAUCGUGGCCCUAGAACGGAGUCUUGAAGAAUAAGAAGCCACAGCUUGUCAGGGAUUCAGUCUGGAAAAAUGUUAUGAGACCAGAGGUAGGUAGGUUUGGGUACCAGCGAAACAGGGAAAGUGUGACAGCAGGGAGCAGGGUGCUGGGCACAGAGAGAAAUUAAGGGUGGGGAGGGAAGGGGGUUUCUUAACCACACACCUCAAGCAUUUCUGGGCUUCCCCAGAGCCAGAUGGGGAGGGGCACACAGAUAGGUGAGUCAUUGUGUUUGCUCUCUAGCCUGUCAAUCUAGGAGUGAAUAAGACUAGACUGCAGGUUUUUUGUGGGAGUAGAACCACAUCUUGCUCAUUUUAACUUUAAUUCUCAGAGAACAGUGAGCGGGUGCCUGGCACAUAUUAAGUGCUCAUCUGUUGUUCAUGGAAUGAAUCAAUAAACAUCAUAAAUAAUUUUCAUGUAAUGCAUAAAUGAAUAAAUGCUAAACAAAGGUGACUAUAAAGGUAGCGGUGGUCAGCGCUGACUGUGAGGAUCUGAGGGCUCAGGGUCAGCAGGGUGAUGGCCCCACUCACGCUGGGGUGCCCCUGGGGAAGGGGUCAUCUUUAGCGUUCCUGGCCACUCACCCCUCAACUCUCAUCACUUCCUCCCCUCCUCUUUCUGCCCAAGUGGCCUGGGACUGAAAAUCAGCCUGGGCAGCACCAGAAGAGCUUUGCAGACGAGAUUAAAAGCAAAUCAAAGAAGAAAAAUUGUGGCUCGGUUUAUGUCUUCCUAAUUAAAACCCCGCCAGUCUCCCUUCUUUUUCUUCCCAGCUAAUGUUACACUAACGAGCUGAGUUUAGUGGCAUUUAUGUAGAUAAAAGUCCCAAUGAUUGAUCUCAAUGGCUUGUUAAAAUUAGUUUCAGUCCACCAUAUUGAUUUAAUUCCAUUGCUUGAAAGUGCUAAUUAAUAAUGAUAAUAAAAGUGUCUUGGCCCAUUAUUAUCAGUGGGCAGGCGGGGGCGGGUGUAUGUGGAAGCGGGGGGAUCGUUGUUUUUAGUGUCACUUACUCUGGCUAAGGGUGGCCUUUGAAGGCUGACUGCGGGGACAGGAGGCGGGGGUACUGCGGGGCAUAUAGGGAUGGUUCUGUCCCUUUCUCUGGAUCUAGUAAGUCCUUGUGGAGGUGCUAGGGGCUGCUGGAGGGG
rnacentral:lncRNA from 1 species